rnacentral:lncRNA from 1 species
CAAAAACAGCAAAAAAGUAAGGCUAUAGCCUUAACUUUUCGUCCAUUUUUAGCCACUUAUGUCAUUUUUCAUAAGUGGGCCAAAAACAGCAAAAAAGUAAGGCUAUAGCCUUAACUUUUCGUCCAUUUUUACCCACUUAUGUCAUUUUUCAUAAGUGGGCCAAAAACAGCAAAAAAGUAAGGCUAUAGCCUUAACUUUUCGUCCAUUUUUACCCACUUAUGUCAUUUUUCAUAAGUGGGCCAAAAACAGCAAAAAAGUAAGGCUAUAGCCUUAACUUUUCGUCCAUUUUUACCCAC